rnacentral:tRNA from 1 species
UCUUCGGUGUGCGAGCGCACCCGUUGGUAGAGCACGCGGCUGUUAACCGCGGGGGUGUAGGUUCAAGCCCUACUCGGGGAG